rnacentral:rRNA from 1 species
AUACGUAGGGUGCAAGCGUUAAUCGGAAUUACUGGGCGUAAAGCGUGCGCAGACGGUUUUGUAAGACAGUGGUGAAAUCCCCGGGCUCAACCUGGGAACUGCCAUUGUGACUGCAAGGCUGGAGUGCGGCAGAGGGGGAUGGAAUUCCGCGUGUAGCAGUGAAAUGCGUAGAUAUGCGGAGGAACACCGAUGGCGAAGGCAAUCCCCUGGGCCUGCACUGACGCUCAUGCACGAAAGCGUGGGGAGCAAACAGGAUUAGAUACCCUGGUAGUCCACGCCCUAAACGAUGUCAACUGGUUGUUGGGGAUUUAUUUUCUCAGUAACGAAGCUAACGCGUGAAGUUGACCGCCUGGGGAGUACGGCCGCAAGGUUAAAACUCAAAGGAAUUGGCGGGG